UAUAAACAAAGCUGUAUAUCUCUUGGAGGGGAGCAACUGGCCCAACAAACUGCUGUUGAAUCUAACCACAAACAAGAAUGGACGGGCUGCGUUCUCCCUAAACACUGCUGAUCUUAAGGCUGAUCUGAAUCUGGUGGCGAGUGCUAAUCCAGAGGUUUUUUAUGGUUCUAAAUCGCCAUACUUCACUACAGAUACAAGUGACCGUGGCGUAUUCAUUUGUUGGAGAGGCUGGUAGCUACAGCGCUGACAAUCUAUAUGGUCUUAUCCAAAGGAGUGAUCAUCCUCCAUGGAUUUCAGACGGUUAAAGCAAAGGCUGGUGAUGCAGUCACAAGUGGCUCUGUGACGUUCCAGUUGUCUGUCAGCGUUGAUUAUGGCUCCAGCAGUGCAGAUUCUGGUCUACAGCGUUCUUCCCAGUGAGAAUGUAGUUGCUGCUAGUGUGCCGUUUGGGACUGAAAUGUAUUUCCAGAACCAGGUGUCUCUGCAGUUUUCUCCAGCUACGGCGGUUCCUGCGGAGGGAAACGUUCUGACGGUUUCUGCUCAAGCAGGAUCUCUGCGUGGUAGAUCAGAGCAUCCGGAUCAUGGAGCCAGGAAGACAUCUGAGUGCUGAGAGGCUGUCUGUGUGCCUCAAUCAGGUUUUUUGUUUGGGCUUUUAAUCUGGAUAUUUCAGUGUGUGGCACUUCUGAUUAGAAUGCCACUUCAGUUUAUCCCAGUGUCUGAAGUACAGACAGAAGUUUUAUCACAACUUCAGUGUAGGUAUGUCUGUUAGUUUGAUUUUUGCUCUAGAAAUUGGUACGUGGCUUAAAGCUAAAAUGGAAAAAUGUAGUCUUGUGUUGUGAUCUUUUAAUAUGAAGGACGGGCGUCCGUCCGUCCGUCCGUGCGUGCGUUUGUGCGUGCGUUUUUUUCCGUGCGUGCGUUUGUCCGUCCGAUCCUUCACAAAGACCCAGGCACCGCAGAAUGGAGUAGCCAUGGAGUGAAGAGUCCCAACACUAGUCUCCCAAGUUUUUGAGGUGGAAAAAAUACGGUAAGUUGUUGUGUGAGGGAAGUUCAAUGACAGAUCUGAGGCCUUAAUCUAAAGCACUUUGUUUCUGGUUUAGUUUUGCCCAAGUUUGAUGUGACUGUAAACGCACUGCAGACCUACAGCGUUGCAGUUAUGGGACUGAAAGUUGAGUCUUGUGCCAAAUGAAUGCCACGGGCUGUGCCUCUAUUACUGUUGAUGCGUCAGUGUUUUUCAACACCAAAUUUGAAGACCAAAUGCAAGACACAUUUCUUGUAAAUGUUACUGAGGAGGGAACAGAUGUAAUGGUGUCAAUCUGCAAUGGAGUCCUUUAUAAACAAAGCUGUAUAUCUCUUGGAGGGGAGCAACUGGCCCAACAAACUGCUGUUGAAUCUAACUACAAACAAGAAUGGAUGGGCUGCGUUCUCCCUAAACACUGCUGAUCUUAAGGCUGAUCUGAAUCUGGUGGUACGACUUGUAUUUUGUAAAAAUUAAGACUUUCUCUAGCAUGAUACUGAUUAAGUUUGAUCUUCCCCAGGCGAGUGCUAAUCCAGAGGUUUUUUAUGGUUCUAAAUCGCCAUACUUCACUACAGAUACAAGUGACCGUGGCGUAUUCAUUUGUUGGAGAGGCUGGUAGCUACAGCGCUGACAAUCUAUAUGGUCUUAUCCAAAGGAGUGAUCAUCCUCCAUGGAUUUCAGACGGUUAAAGCAAAGGCUGGUGAUGCAGUCACAAGUGGCUGUGUGACGUUCCAGUUGUCUGUCAGCGUUGAUUAUGGCUCCAGCAGUGCAGAUUCUGGUCUACAGCGUUCUUCCCAGUGAGAAUGUAGUUGCUGCUAGUGUGCCGUUUGACACUGAUAUGUAUUUCCAGAACCAGGUGUCUCUGCAGUUUUCUCCAGCUACGGCGGUUCCUGUGGAGGGAAAUGUUCUGACGGUUUCUGCUCAAGCAGGAUCUCUGCGUGGUAGAUCAGAGCAUCCGGAUCAUGGAGCCAGGAAGACAUCUGAGUGCUGAGAGGCUGUCUGUGUGCCUCAAUCAGGUUUUUUGUUUGGGCUUUUAAUCUGGAUAUUUCAGUGUGUGGCACUUCUGAUUAGAAUGCCACUUUAGUUUAUCCCAGUGUCUGAAGUACAGACAGAAGUUUUAUCACAACUUCAGUGUCGGUAUGUCUGUUAGU